rnacentral:rRNA from 1 species
GACGAACGCUGGCGGCGUGCCUAACACAUGCAAGUCGAGCGAACAGACGAGAAGCUUGCUUCUCUGAUGUUAGCGGCGGACGGGUGUGAAACACGUGGAUAACCUACCUAUAAGACUGGGAUAACUUCGGGAAACCGGAGCUAAUACCGGAUAAUAUUUUGCACCGUGUGGUUCAAUGGUGAAAUACGGUCGUGCUGUCAGGUAUAGAUGGAUACGCGCUGCAUUAGCUGGUUGUGAAGGUAACGGCUUACCAAGGCAACGAGGCAUAUCCGACGUGCGGGAGGGGUCGGCCACCUUGGAGGUUGGACACGCUCCUGGGGACUACGGGAGGCAGCAGUAGCGUACCUUCCGCAGUGGUCGAGAGCAUGACGGAGUAGCGCCGAGUGAGUGACGAAGGCCUUCCGUUCGUGAAGCUCUGUUACUAGGGAAGAACAUAUGUGUAAGGAACUGUGCACAGCUUGACGGUAACUAAUCAGAAAGCCACGGCUAACUACGUG